rnacentral:rRNA from 1 species
GACGAACGCUGGCGGCGUGCCUAAUACAUGCAAGUUGAGCGAUGAAGAUUGGUGCUUGCACCAAUUUGAAGAGCAGCGCACGGGUGAGUAACGCGUGGGGAAUCUGCCUUUGAGCGGGGGACAACAUUUGGAAACGAAUGCUAAUACCGCAUAACAACUUUAAACAUAAGUUUUAAGUUUGAAAGAUGCAAUUGCAUCACUCAAAGAUGAUCCCGCGUUGUAUUAGCUAGUUGGUGAGGUAAAGGCUCACCAAGGCGAUGAUACAUAGCCGACCUGAGAGGGUGGUCGGCCACAUUGGGACUGAGACACGGCCCAAACUCCUACGGGAGGCAGCAGUAGGGAAUCUUCGGCAAUGGACGAAAGUCUGACCGAGCAACGCCGCGUGAGUGAAGAAGGUUUUCGGAUCGUAAAACUCUGUUGGUAGAGAAGAACGUUGGUGAGAGUGGAAAGCUCAUCAAGUGACGGUAACUACCCAGAAAGGGACGGCUAACUACGUG